rnacentral:sRNA from 1 species
CGCUUGUGUAGUGUUUGUGAACAAGUGC